CCUAUUGUUGUGUAAUCGAUAACUUUUUCUAACAUUUUGCCCUUCUAAAACAACUUUUCAUAUUAUAAGCUAUUCGUUUUACUGUUUAAGUUUCAGUCCAAAAAUUAAGACUAAUUUAAGAAGAGAAAAUUAUAGGUGACUAUUUGUUUCCUUGUGUUCGUUUGUUGUAUAGCGAACUUUAUAGAUUACAGCAGUUAGAGCUGCGGCAAAUUAGUUGACUUGUGUUCUUUGCAACAUUAAACGAAAACAGCAGGCAAUACACAAAUAUACGUCCGUAGCAUUUAUCGUACAAACUUUCUAACGAAGCU